UACCCCUUACCCCUCCCCCUUGGUUUGAAGGGGUAAGGGUGUCCCAAUUCUCAUUUUGGUUAAGGGGUAGGGCGUAGACAAAAGGCUACGUAGCCCUUGAAACAAAGCUAUCCAAGGACCACACUUCAAAGGGAGGGCUUCGAGGAAAAUCCGGCCGAAAAUGCAUUUUUACUAGUUGUUAUCAUUCGGACUCAUGAUGUAAAGUUGACUGUAUAUUCAGCUCGAAGUCAUACACGGACAAUGCGAUCUCUGAGCUCGAUAUAAAACAUGACAUAACGGUAAAUAACCGUUGAACUAUGCAUACAAGAUUUUGGCGCUCUCUAGUGGCCAACCGAAAUCGCCAAAUAAACAAACAGCAGCGAUGGCUCAAGCGAAGGACACACAGAAAUGUAAGUAUUUUCAGCACUUUAAUUACGGCAGACCGGUGUAAUAAUACUAUUUUCGAGCGGUUGUGAAGUUAGUUUUGAAUCACUAGUCAAGUUUGUUUUGAUUCACUAGUCAAGUUUGUUUUGAAUCACUAGAAGCCGAUGCUAAUGUGUUCCGCUAUCGCUAUUUGUUGAGAUAGAUAUCCGAUAACCCUUGACAUGACAUGUUAAGGUUUCAAGUAAAAUUUGUGUGCAGUGGAUUUGCUUACUACUACUAUUACUUGGUUGAUUAUACCGGCGCACUGCUUUGAUAUCGGUAAAGCUGCCACCUAGGCUACGUCACUCGCCUGUCAAACUGAAGAUUUCCUUUCCACUUUUACCUCAGGGACACCACAGGAGACCAGACGGCUCAUUAAUUUCAGGGCGACCAGGGACAAUGAGUUCCUAAAAUCGAAAAUGAUCGCCAGAAAACAGUGGGAGCUUUUUCUGGAAGAAAUGGGGGUGGAGGGGAAAGUGACCAGGCAACAGGCUUCUAAGAAGUGGGAGAACCUUAAAAAGAAGUACAAGGCCCGCUCUAUCACAGAACGCACCUUGGAUUGGCGGUAAUUAAAGCGCUGCUGCACCCGCCCAAUCACCGGCUCUUUAUAGGGAGUCAACAGACAUACGGGCGUUUGGAGGCAGGGGUACCCACCAUCACCGAAAAGCAUGUAACCCGGUGGUGGAUACCUGGCAGUCAAAUAAAAAUAACUGUUUUUCAUUACCCUUGUCCUUUAUGUUUCUUGGACGGAAUGUAACUGAUAAUUUCGUUGCUCUGUAACAUGUGCAAUGACAACAAAUAAAAUCCUAUCCUAUCCUAUCCUAUCCUAUGGCAAUGUUUUGAUAUGUUGAGGGGAGUGUCUU